AAUUUUCUCUCCCAUCACACUGGGGUGGGGAGUGAUCAAAUAGCUGUGUGGCGUUUAACUGCCUUCCAAGUUAAACCACAGCACCUGGUAUUGAUAGUGGAAAUUUUCACAUUUUCUUCUAAACAUUACUGUUUAAUUGGGGUCAUGGUAGUGAGUAAGUCAUUAAGAAGUGAAUGGGGAGAUUAGUGCAUGUCUAAAGUGAGAUUAGAAUGAAAUAAGGAUUAGCAAGCUAAGAAAAGUUACAGUAGGACUGUAGACCCAGAAUAGGAUUCACAACUUCUACCUUGCAGUGAAGAUAAGAUUAAACUCAGUAUGCCUGUGCAUUUCAUAACUGAAGAAAGAAAAGGAGGAAACCUCAAAUACAGAUAAAGAAGUGAAGAUGAGCUUCCAAGAUGUGGAAUGGACAAAAACAGCAUAAGAAAUUGUUCACUGUACAAGAAAGAAGAUGUGGUGGUUACCCACUGCAGAACUGAGAACUGGUUGGCUACAUCUAUCCCCAGACUACCUUACUGAUGAGUAUGCCUACUACCAUAUGCAAGAACAAGAUUUUGUGAUGAGUAAGUGCACUUUCUUCUGAGCAGAUGAACGAUUAUCACAGUGACAGCUGGGCACCUUCCUAAAAGCUACAAAAAUAAAAUAAAAUCACUCAGACUGUUUCUA